CCCUUAGAUGUCCGGGGCCGCACGCGCGCUACACUGAAGGAAUCAGCGUGGCUUUCUCCCUGACCCGAAAGGGUUGGGAAACCCGUUGAAUCUCCUUCGUGAUAGGGAUUGGGGCUUGAAAUUGUUCCCCAUGAACGAGGAAUGCCCAGUAAGCGCGAGUCAUAAGCUCGCGUUGAUUACGUCCCUGCCCUUUGUACACACCGCCCGUCGCUACUACCGAUUGAACGGUUUAGUGAGGGCCUCGGAUUGGUCUCGGCCCGCUCUUCACCGGGCGGCGCCGUUGGUCGAGAAGACGCUCGAACUUGAUCGUUUAGAGGAAGUAAAAGUCGUAACA
rnacentral:rRNA from 1 species